rnacentral:rRNA from 1 species
CGACGGGUGAGUAACACGUAUGCAAUCCACCUGUAACAGGGGGAUAACCCGGAGAAAUCCGGACUAAUACCCCAUAAUAUGGGCGCUCCGCAUGGAGAGUCCAUUAAAGAGAGCAAUCUUGGUUACAGACGAGCAUGCGCUCCAUUAGCCAGUUGGCGGGGUAACGGCCCACCAAGGCGACGAUGGAUAGGGGUUCUGAGAGGAAGGUCCCCCACAUUGGAACUGAGACACGGUCCAA